GCCCAGGUGGUGAAAUGGUAUACACGAGGGACUUAAAAUCCCUUGGUCCGCAAGGGCCUUGCGGGUUCAAGUCCCGCCCUGGGCA
rnacentral:tRNA from 1 species